rnacentral:rRNA from 1 species
GACGAACGCUGGCGGCGUGCCUAAUACAUGCAAGUCGAACGCAGUGGGGACGGGUCAGUAAAACGUGGCUAAACUCCCAUCAGAGGGGAUAACACUUGGAAACAGGUGCUAAACCGAUACUGAUUGAUGGACCCUGGGUGCAUUCGCUAGUUGGUGGGGUAACGGCUCACCAAGGCCACGAUGCAUAGCCGAUCUGAGAGGAGGAGCGGCCACACUGGGACUGAGACACGGCCCAGACUCCUACGGGAGGCAGCAGUAGGGAAUAUUGGGCAAUGGACGAAAGUCUGACCAAGCCACGCCGCGUGAGUGAAGAAGGUUUUCGGAUCGUAAAGCUCUGUAGUUAGAGAGGCGGUAUCUAACCAGAAAGCCACGGCUAACUACGUGCCAGCAGCCGCGGUAAUAC